rnacentral:rRNA from 1 species
CAAGCCAAAUUAAGGUGAAACCGCGAAAGGCUCAUUAAAUCAGUUAUGGUUCCUUAGAUCGUACCCACAAUUACUUGGAUAACUGUGGUAAUUCUAGAGCUAAUACAUGCAAACAGAGCUCCGACCGGAGACGGAAGGAGUGCUUUUAUUAGAUCAAAACCAAUCGGUGGCGGGUUCGCUCGUUAUCGUACAACUUGGUGACUCUGAAUAACUUUACGCUGAUCGCACGGUCAUCGCACCGGCGACGCAUCUUUCAAAUGUCUGCCUUAUCAACUGUCGAUGGUAGGUUCUGCGCCUACCAUGGUUGUAACGGGUAACGGGGAAUCAGGGUUCGAUUCCGGAGAGGGAGCCUGAGAAACGGCUACCACAUCCAAGGAAGGCAGCAGGCGCGCAAAUUACCCACUCCCGGCACGGGGAGGUAGUGACGAAAAAUAACGAUACGGGACUCAUCCGAGGCCCCGUAAUCGGAAUGAGUACACUCUAAACCCUUUAACGAGGAUCAAUUGGAGGGCAAGUCUGGUG